rnacentral:rRNA from 1 species
AGCGAACGCUGGCGGCGUGCUUAACACAUGCAAGUCGAACGAAGGCUUCGGCCUUAGUGGCGGACGGGUGAGUAACGCGUGGGAAUCUACCUUACGGCGGGGAAUAACAGCGGGAAACUGCUGCUAAUACCGCAUACGCUCUACGGAGGAAAGGCUUCGGCCACCGUUUGAGGAUCCCGCGUCCGAUUAGCUAGUUGGUGAGGUAACGGCUCACCAAGGCGACGAUCGGUAGCUGGUCUGAGAGGAUGAU